GACGAACGCUGGCGGCGUGCCUAAUACAUGCAAGUCGAGCGAAGUUUUUCUGGUGCUUGCCCUAGAAAAACUUAGCGGCGAACGGGUGAGUAACACGUAAAGAACCUGCCUCAUAGACUGGGACUACUGUUGGAAACGAUAGCUAAUACCGGAUAACAGUAUUUCUCGCAUGGGAGAUAUUUAAAAGUUGGUUAUGCUAACACUAUGAGAUGGCUUUGCGUUGCAUUAGCUAGUUGGUGGGGUAAAGGCCCACCAAGGCGACGAUGCAUAGCCGACCUGAGAGGGUGAUCGGCCACACUGGAACUGAGACACGGCCCAGACUCCUACGGGAGGCAGCAGUAGGGAAUCUUCCGCAAUGGGCGAAAGCCUGACGGAGCAACGCCGCGUGAGUGAAGAAGGAUUUCGGUUCGUAAAGCUCUGUUGUUAGGGAAGAAUGGAUAUGUAGUAACUAUACGUGUAAGUGACGGUACCUAACCAGAAAGCCACGGCUAACUACGUG
rnacentral:rRNA from 1 species